UACGUAGGCACCAAGCGUUGUCCGGAUUUAUUGGGCGUAAAGAGCUCGUAGGCGGUUCGGUAAGUCGGGUGUGAAAACUCUGGGCUCAACCCAGAGCCGCCACCCGAUACUGCUGUGACUCGAGUGCGGUAGGGGAGCGGGGAAUUCCUGGUGUAGCGGUGAAAUGCGCAGAUAUCAGGAGGAACACCAGUGGCGAAGGCGGCUUUCUGGGCCUUACCUGACGCUGAGACGCGAAAGCGUGGGAGCGAACCGG
rnacentral:rRNA from 1 species